CAUAAAUGCACGGUUAUUGUGGCAGGAACAAACCUCCCUCCCGUCCCCUAUUUGACACCAGAUUUCUGCAGUGGUCGUUGCUUUUGGACAUGCGUAAUUAGAUAUUCGCACCCAGUCCAGACUAAUUUCGGGGUUUGUUUAAAUAAUCAUGGCCUUUCAUCGAUACAGGGAAGUCUCCAUUUUGACAGCCCAUUUGAAGUGGUUACGCACCCUUGCAAGCUCAUAAAUUAACCACAGCCUUUAAUUAGUUUACUUUAUUAGUUCAAUCUCAUUGAAAACAUUCUCGGCAUUAUAUGUUGCAAAAAUAUUUACAUUUCGUUGGCAAAACACAUUUCUCCCUGCCUCGACUUUGUUUUUCAGAAAUUAAUUCUAUAAACAUGAACUCCAUACCGUGAAGGGGAAAAAGUAAAAAAAAAUGCAAGAUUUUUCACAUUUAUUCUAACAAUUUGAAAAACUGGCACGUCUGACAGCAGCAGGGAAAAAAAUUGCUGGAAAUUAACUCGAAAAAUAUAAGCAAGCCGUAAUUCUAUGUGGCAUGACAUGUGGAAUUACUUAAUCGAAUUAAUUUUUCCAAGCAGGCCACGGCCCGGAAAAUUCCCUUAAUUUAUGCAAUGGAAUGUCAAAAAAGCCCAGCGAUCCGAGCCAAUUAUUGUGUGGGGAAGUGUCGCAGUCGAUUUGGAAGUGGCAUGGGCCAUUUAUAAAUGAUAUCCACUGACAGAGUAAA
rnacentral:sRNA from 1 species